UACGUAGGGGGCAAGCGUUGUCCGGAUUUAUUGGGCGUAAAGAGCGUGUAGGCGGCCAUACAGGUCAUCUGUGAAAACUCGAGGCUCAACCUCGAGACGUCGGUUGAAACCGUAUGGCUAGAGUCCGGAAGAGGAGAGUGGAAUUCCCGGUGUAGCGGUGAAAUGCGCAGAUAUCGGGAGGAACACCAAUGGCGAAGGCAGCUUGCUGGGACGGUACUGACGCUGAGGCGCGAAAGCGUGGGGAGCAAACAGG
rnacentral:rRNA from 1 species